rnacentral:rRNA from 1 species
UGGGCAACCUGCCCCUCUCUCUGGGAUAACCCCGGGAAACCGGAGCUAAUACCGGAUACUCCGGCUGGAUCGCAUGGUCCGGCCGGGAAAGGUCCGCCGGAGAGGGAUGGGCCCGCGGCCUAUCAGCUUGUUGGUGGGGUCAUGGCCUACCAAGGCGACGACGGGUAGCCGGCCUGAGAGGGCGACCGGCCACACUGGGACUGAGACACGGCCCAGACUCCUACGGGAGGCAGCAGGUGGGGAAUAUUGCAA